UACGUAGGCAGCAAGCGUUGUUCGGAAUUACUGGGCGUAAAGAGUGUGUAGGCGGUGUUCUAAGUCUGUUGUGAAAUCUCCCGGCUUAACUGGGAGGGUGCGGCGGAAACUGGAAUGCUAGAGGAUGGGAGAGGUAAGCGGAAUUCCUGGUGUAGCGGUGAAAUGCGUAGAUAUCAGGAGGAACACCUGUGGUGUAGACAGCUUACUAGACCAUUUCUGACGCUGAGACACGAAAGCGUGGGUAGCAAACAGG
rnacentral:rRNA from 1 species